UACGUAGGGGGCAAGCGUUGUCCGGAAUCAUUGGGCGUAAAGCGCUCGCAGGCGGUCCGAUGCGUCGUGCGUGAAAGACCCCGGCUCAACUGGGGAGGGUCGUGCGAUACGGUCGGACUCGAGGCCAGUAGGGGGACGCGGAAUUCCGGGUGUAGUGGUGGAAUGCGUAGAGAUCCGGAGGAACACCAGCGGCGAAGGCGGCGUCCUGGACUGGUACUGACGCUCAGGAGCGAAAGCGUGGGGAGCGAUCCGG
rnacentral:rRNA from 1 species